rnacentral:rRNA from 1 species
UACAGAGGUGGCAAGCGUUGUUCGGAAUUACUGGGCGUAAAGGGCUCGUAGGUGGCCAACUAAGUCAGACGUGAAAUCCCUCGGCUUAACCGGGGAACUGCGUCUGAUACUGGAUGGCUUGAGUUCGGGAGAGGGAUGCGGAAUUCCAGGUGUAGCGGUGAAAUGCGUAGAUAUCUGGAGGAACACCGGUGGCGAAGGCGGCAUCCUGGACCGACACUGACACUGAGGUGCGAAAGCGUGGGGAGCAAACAGG